AACAAACGCUGGCGGCAUGCCUAAUACAUGCAAGUCGAACGGGGAAAGCUUUCGGGUGAGUACUAGUGGCGCACGGGCGAGUAACGCGUGGAUAAUCUGCCUUAGAGUGGGGGAUAACUAGUCGAAAGAUUAGCUAAUACCGCAUAAGACCACAAGAACUGCGGUUCAAGGGGUCAAAGGUUUUUCGCUCUAAGAUGAGUCCGCGUAAGAUUAGCUAGUUGGUGAGGUAAUGGCUCACCAAGGCGACGAUCUUUAACUGGUCUGAGAGGAUGAUCAGUCACACUGGAACUGAGACACGGUCCAGACUCCUACGGGAGGCAGCAGUAGGGAAUAUUGCACAAUGGAGGAAACUCUGAUGCAGCGACGCCGCGUGAGUGAUGAAGGCCUUCGGGUCGUAAAGCUCUGUCGCAAGGGAAUAACACAAUGAAUGUACCUUGCAAGAAAGGAUCGGCUAACUUCGUGCCAGCAGCCGCCGUAAAAC
rnacentral:rRNA from 1 species